CACUCUUUUUAGCUCACCUGGCCCGAAGGGCCAAGUGAGCUUUUCCCAUCACUUUGCGUCCGGCGUCCGUCGUCGUCGUCCGUCGUCGUCCGUCGUCGUUAACUUUUACAAAAAUCUUCUCCUCUGAAACUGCUGGGCAAAAUUAAACCAAACUUGGCCACAAUCAUCAUUGGGGUAUCUAGUUUAAAAAAUGUGUGGCGUGACCCCGCC
rnacentral:lncRNA from 1 species